rnacentral:rRNA from 1 species
AGUGAACGCUGGCGGUAGGCCUAACACAUGCAAGUCGAACGGCAGCACAGUAAGAGCUUGCCCUUACGGGUGGCGAGUGGCGGACGGGUGAGGAAUACAUCGGAAUCUACUUUUUCGUGGGGGAUAACGUAGGGAAACUUACGCUAAUACCGCAUACGACCUACGGGUGAAAGCAGGGGAUCUUCGGACCUUGCGCGAUUGAAUGAGCCGAUGUCGGAUUAGCUAGUUGGCGGGGUAAAGGCCCACCAAGGCGACGAUCCGUAGCUGGUCUGAGAGGAUGAUCAGCCACACUGGAACUGAGACACGGUCCAGACUCAUACGGGAGGCAGCAGUGGGGAAUAUGGGACAAUGGGCGCAAGCCUGAUCCAGCCAUACCGCGUGGGUGAAGAAGGCCUUCGGGUUGUAAAGCCCUUUUGUUGGGAAAGAAAAGCAGCAGGUUAAUACCCCGCUGUUCUGACGGUACCCAAAGAAUAAGCACCGGCUAACUUCGUG